rnacentral:rRNA from 1 species
CCUACGGGAGGCAGCAGUGAGGAAUAUUGGUCAAUGGACGCAAGUCUGAACCAGCCAUGCCGCGUGCAGGAAGACGGCUCUAUGAGUUGUAAACUGCUUUUGUACGAGGGUAAACGCAGAUACGCGUAUCUGUCUGAAAGUAUCGGACGAAUAAGGAUCGGCUAACUCCGUGCCAGCAGCCGCGGUAAUACGGAGGAUUCGAGCGUUAUCCGGAUUUAUUGGGUUUAAAGGGUGCGUAGGCGGGCGGAUAAGUUAGAGGUUAAAGCCCGGGGCUCAACUUCGGAAUUGCCUCUGAAACUGUCAGGCUAGAGAGUAGUUGAGGUAGGCGGAAUGUAUGGUGUAGCGGUGAAAUGCUUAGAGAUCAUACAGAACACCGAUUGCGAAGGCAGCUUACCAAGCUACUUCUGACGUUGAGGCACGAAAGCGUGGGGAGCAAACAGGAUUAGAUACCCCUGUAGUC